AUGGGAGAUGAGGAAGCCAUCGGGGCUCGGAGGGGGCCUCGCUGGGUCCGGAGGGUCCCCGCCAGCGUCAGCCCUUCUGUGCGGCCAGAGCGUCUGUCCUGGUUUAUUGAAAGCCAGCGGAAUACUCCAUUUCACCCGCUUCAGUGGGAAACGUUUCGCAGAAAAACACAAGAAGGGGUCUUCAUUCCUGGACGCCCCAGUGAUGUGUCCCCUCCGGCUCUCCGGAAGCUUCUACAGCCGGGGCUUUGGCGACCUGCCCACGGAGCCCCAGGACCCGAGCCCCAUGGCAUUCUCGGGGGUCCGCGCGGCUGCCGGCGGUCAGCGGCUUUCAACGCUGGGCUCGGGCUCAGGCCUCUCCUUUUCCACGGGGGUUCACCGCAUCGUCUGCCCCGAGUCCGGCUUCCCCGCUGGCCCCGCCUGAGGACGGUCGCCGUGACGCACUGUCUUCACCUGCUGAUUCGUCCCUUCUGGAGGCUCGUGGCCUCCCCCGGCCUGAGGCUGACGUCUGGGCUCAGGACGGUGUCCCACGGCUCCAGAGGGGAUUCCGCGCGUUGA
rnacentral:lncRNA from 1 species